CUGCGGGAAGGGGGCCGCAUGGCCUCCAUCCCGUAGCGCUCGAACCCAACUUCCGAUAAAACUUUCAGCGACGGAUGUCUUGGCUCCCACAACGAUGAAGAACGCAGCGAAAUGCGAUACGUCUUGCGACUUGCAGAAUCUCGUGAAUCAUCGAAACUUCGAACGCACCUUGCGCUCCCGGGAUAUGCCUGGGAGCAUGCUUGUCGGGGAGGAGGAGGCGAAAACUCGCCCACAGCUUCGGGUUCGAUCUCGACCUCGAGGCGGUGGAGCGGAAUCUGAGCGUUCCGGGGAGCGGUGGUGCGGUGAGUAUUUUUGUACGUACUGCCUGCUCGUCCCCUGAGUUCACCUAAGCCUAGAGAGCUACCGAUCGUCCGGGUUUCUAUUCUCUUUGCGGCGCUGAUGACAGGUUCACCUGUGUCUUCCGGAGGAUUCGUUGUUGACCCCGCCCCCUCUCGCGGGGCGGGGACACGACGGGUCGCCGGGGAUGUGUGCGGGUGACCUCGAGGCGUCACUGGAGGCAGGUUCACCUGUGUCUUCCGGAAGAUUCGUUGUUGACGGCGCCCCCUCUCGCGGGGCGGGGACACGACGGGUCGCCGGGGAUGUGUGCGGGUGAGUUUGAAGCGUCGCUCGAGGCAAGUUCGCGUUGCGUCUUCCGGAGGAUCCGUUGUACGACGGGUCGCCGGGGAUGUGCGCGGGUGAGUUUGGAGCGUCGCUGGAGGCCCGUGGACGGUAGGCAGUCUCGAGAGUGCCGGUGAGAGGCCGGUGAUAAUGAUUAUGCCAUACCCCCGAUCAAGCAAGAAGACCCGCUGAAUUUAAGCAUAUAACUAAGCGGAGGAAAAGAAACUAACCAGGAUUCCCCCAGUAACGGCGAGUGAAGCGGGAAGAGCUCAUGAUGUAAACCCGGCCCUCGGGUCGGGGUUGUAGUCUGGAGAGGCGUUGCCAGCCGGCGGCGGGGUCGAAGUCUCUUGGAAAAGAGCAUCAAGGAGGGUGACAAUCCCGUUCCGGUCCCCGCUCGUCGUGCGUACGGUGCGCUUUCUACGAGUCGAGUUGCUUGGGAUUGCAGCUCAAAGCGGG
rnacentral:rRNA from 1 species